AUGAACACUCUUUUUUUUUUUUUUGAGAUGGAGUUUGGCUCUUGUUACCCAGGCUGGAGUGCAAUGGCGCGAUCUCAGCUCACCGCAACCUCCACCUCCUGGGUUCAGGCCAUUCUCCUGCCUCAGCCUCCUGAGUAGCUGGGAUUACAGGCAAGCACCACCAUGCCCAGCUAAUUUUUUGUAUUUUUAGUAGAGACAGGGUUUCACCAUGUUGACCAGGAUGGUCUCAAUCUCUUGACAUAGUGAUCCACCCGCCUUGGCCUCCCAAAGUGCUGGGAUUACAGGCUUGAGCCACCGCACCUGGCCCGUCAUGAACACUCUUCUAGCCUCUCCUUCUAUUAUCCCAGUUUCUCACGAGAGGUUGUUUAUGAUCCACCACCCACCAGGCCACUCCUCGUCCCUAUUGCCUGGCUUCUGUCCCCGCUGCCUCCUGUAGCUCAUGGAGCCUUUCCUCACCUUGGUCUUUUGUUUUCUUUCCUUUCUGUAGCUCUCCACAUUGUCACUCAGAUUCUGGCUUUGAAAACUGUGUUCCGUAGGUUUCUCUGAUGUGAGACUCUUCUGGGUUUCCCUUCUCAGCUCUGACUUUCUAAAUCAUCCUCAGGCUCAUCUUCUGUCUUCAGCCAUUUCUCAAACGGAGAUGCUCCAAAACAGAGCACUGUUCAUGGCUCACUUUCCUUCACUGCCACAAGAUCUUUGGGAACUGUAUUCAGUUUGACAAAUAUCAGAGACAUCUAGGAGUGUCCAGUUACUGGCUUCAUGUGGACACUCCUAAAUGUCUCUGUCUGUCUCCAUCUCCCUGGACCUCUGUGUAACUAACCUCUAAGCUGUGUGUGCCUCGGGCGGCUGUGAUGGUGUGAUUUCUGUGCAUUGUUUUAAGCGUUUUCUCCUCCUCUUAGUUUCCGCUGCCACUGCCCUAGUUCUGCCUCCUGUUCUUUGUCCCGGAUACAGCGACAGUCUCCAGGCUGGCUCACCUGACUCCACCUCAAGUCCCGAAACUCCUUGUGGAGGGCUGUCGCUCCCCUCCACCAGAAGCCCACAUGUGAUGAUGCCACUUCCCUGUUUGUCAACACUCAAUGGCAGAAGACGGUCUGAUUCCUGGGCUUGUUGCUAAACACCCUCCAUCAUUUCUCAACUUUCCCUCUCUCCAGUCUUUUCCAUGCAAUUACAGCUGCAAUUUCUGUUCGAAGACGUUACUCAUGCUGUUUCCUCAGCCUAGAAUAUAUCUCUCCCAUCUGCCCAGGGUCUGAAGUCCAAGUGAAAUGUCUUACGAAACCUCGUCUCACCUCUAAAGCCAGGCUUCCGGGAACAUUUCAUCGGAAUGACUCUCACGUCUCUGCGUAUGUAACUUUGCUAACUUGACUGCAGCCUCUUUACGGACAAAAACUUUGCGGCAAUGUGCCACCCGCUAAAGAAUAGGAGUGUUUUACAUGCUGCGACUUACAUCGAGAUUGCACAAUUCCUGUUGCUGAAGCAACUGUGAGCAGGGAAAGAGAACCAGGGAAGUGUUAGCAUCUUUGUUCUGACCACCUUCUGUGUCCAAGAACACUCAGGCCUGCCUGAAGAAAUGAAGGGGCCGUUCAAAGGAAGAAGCGAGAUUUUCUAAACAGGCUAUAAAAGAAACCUCCACACCGGGGAAAAUGAGACAGAGAAACUGACAUCUUACAAUCACUCUUAACGGGUCCACUUGUGUUUUGUUGUUUGUUUGUGUAAGGUUACUUUGACCAGAAGCCACAAUCUCUGAACUAGAUAAGAUCUCAGGAGUAAGCAGAGUAGACCCAUUGCCUGGGCUGAGAACUGAAAUGCACACCGUGCUUUGGAUCAGGGAUGAUUCGGGUAUCGGAGAUUGGAAAUAAAACAUUCAAAAAGCCCAUUUAUCUUCGGAUCCACUGUGACCCACAGACCAAAGCCUGGGUUAUGAGUUAAAAAGGAUGGGAUCCCUCAGUGGAAAUAGAGCCUGGGGAAGCACAGCCCCUCCCCCUCCCCUUCCCACCUCCUCCUUUUCCUCCUCUUCCUUCACCUCCUCCUCCUUUUCCUCCUCUUCCUCCUCCUCCUCCUCCUCCUUUUCCUCCUCUUCUUCCUCCUCUUCCUCUUCCUCCUCCUCCUCCUUUUCCUCCUCUUCUUCCUCCUCUUCCUCUUCCUCCUCCUCCUCCUCCUCCUGUGAUGGGUGCUGCUCAGAUCUCCCUGGUAUCCCAGGCCAGGUCUCAGGAAACCCUGAUUCCAUCUGCGGCUCACCUGCCUCCUAGCAUCCCAUCCCUUCCUGCUUCCCAUUAUGCACCCCAGCAGCUGCUCACCACUCCUCAGCACCCAGAGCUUUUACACAACCCUGGGGCUAUCAGAGAAUGCCUCGGUGGCAUUCCACCAGAAAUGACUGUUACCACUAUCACUCAGGAGCAGUAGAGUCACAGGUGGCUGGGGGUGGUGGUGGUCAUAUCUUUAGCUACUCCACCCAGCCUUCACAGGUCCCACUUUCCCCCAAGCCAACCCCAAAUAAAUGUAUCAUCUGAGUAAAAACUCUGCGCACUCUGCAAACAAACAUAGCUCCAAGGGAAGUCUCUUUAGGUCCCUCCCAACCAGACAGGCCCGUCCCUAAGAGAUUUGGGGGCUGACAUUAUUCCCCAAGCUUUAAAGUGAACACUUCUUCCCUUCCCAGCUCAAACCUAAAUAUCUUAGAAGGGCAGACCUGAACUCGGCAGAAAAUACCAGUCCAGUUCUCCCUUUUCCUAGUGGUCAAACAGGUAUCAGCGACCAUUUCUAAGAGGUAUGGAGUUCUGGGUUAGGAAACAGGAUGAGAGGUUAAAAAAAUUCACCUACUGAAAAUUAAGAAAGUUUUUAAUCAUACAAAAGUAGAUGAUGCAGCAACAGGGCCCUGUGGAAAGUCUGGGAGACCUGGCUGACAUUUUGGCUCUGUGACAACAAGCUGUCCUGUGUGUGACAAUGAGCUGUCCUGUGUGUGACAACGAGCUGUCCUGUGGACACACAUUUCGUCUUUCUGAGCCUUAUCAUCAAAAGGUGGAAAUACACCCUCUUAUGUUUGCUGUGAGGACUCAGGGAGAGGGUUGAAGCAAAGCAGCUACUGUCCUAGGCACCUCAGGUGGCAGCAGUGGCAUUAGCGGUGCUAACAGUACCCGUGAUGAUGACGAUGAUGGAGACAGUGAUUAGCUGUUUUCACCUUGAAUGAGAAUGGAAGAAACUGACAAACUCUUCUGAGAGGUUUAAGUUGAGUAUAUGAAAAAGUUUCCUGAGUGCGAUGAUGGACAAACUCUGCGCAAAUCUGGGAUUCUCCUGAGAUGGCCCCUAAAAUAGAGACCCUUGCUUUCUAGUUAGCGAUGGCUUUGGUACGGGUUAGCCCAAGGGCAAUGAGAUAGACAGGUUCAUUUUGAAGGCACUUGCUUGCGCGAUGAUUCUACUCAUUCUCUCUAGGGUAAAAACAAAGUGAUAUUCCACAGAAUCAGGUGUCUGCGACUCCGUGACCGGGCACUGGGAACACGAAGCUUUGGGUCACAUUUGGAAGUUCCCACUUCUCACUUCUGUGUCCAGACAGAAAAGCAAAGUGAUCCUCUAAAACAAGCUUGUCCAGCCCACAGCCCAUAGGUGCAUGUGGCCCAGGAUGGCUUCCCACAGCCCAUAGGUGCAUGCGGCCCAGGAUGGCUUUGAAUGUGGCCCAAAACAAAUUCGUAAACUUUCUUAAAACUUUAUGAGAUUUUUUUGCAUUUUUUUUUUUAGCUCAUCAGCUAUCAUUGGCGUAUUUUUCUUCCUUUUUUUUUUUUGAGAUGAAGUCAUGUUCUUGUUGUCCAGGCUGGAUGGAGUGCAGUGGCGCAAUCUCGGCUCACGGCAACCUCCGCCUCCCAGGUUCAAGUGAUUCUCCUGCCUCAGCUGCCCGAGUAGCCGGGACUACAGGCGCCUGCCACCAUACCCAGCUAAUUUUUUGUAUUUUUAGUAGAGAUGGGGUUUCACCAUGUUAGCCAGGCUGGUCUUAAAGUCCUGACCUCAGGCAAUACACCCGCCUUGGCCUCCCAAAGUGCUGGGAUUACAGAUGUGAGCCGCCACUCCUGUCCUCAUUAAUGUGUUUUACGUGUGGCCCAAGACAAUUCUUCCAAUGUGGCCCAGAGAAGCCAAAAGAUUGGGCAUCCCUGCUCUAAAGUAAUCAUGAAAGGACAUUCUACCUAACAAACCAAUUCCAGCUGAGUAGAAUUGUUUGAGAAAGUACCGUGCACGGCCACACACUUGUGAAUCAUGCAUUUUCUUGCACAGGGUAGUCAAAGAACGACUUGAUUGCUUCAGAUUUUGUGCCUUGAGACGUAGACGUGCAGCUGGUCCGUGCUCCAGGGAGCCCCACCGUCCUGCAGGAUUUAAUUCUCCUUUACCGCUGAAGCCCAGAGCCCAGAAGUUUUUCGGCUAUGGAGACAACAAGGCGUCAACACUAACUCCAAGUCUGUAACUAGGAACUUAGGAGGCGCCCGCUGAAUAGAGGUGAAAACUCCCGGGCUGGGAACUUGCAGACACCCAUAGGGUCGCCCUCCUGGUUUUCAGUGUGGAGAGAGUGACCUUGGAAAUAUUUCCUAUGGAAAGGGAAGCAGCAACUUCAGCUAUACCCACGUGCUGGUGGCCUUGAGGCAAAAAUCAUACGUGAUGUGUGGGGAGAUGGGAGAGCAAAACGCUGGUGAUUCUCGCCUCAGUGAGGGCGCCGGCUUGCUGCAGGGCUCAAAAGCCUCAAGAGAUGGUCUAGAGGGGAAACCACCUGUGCCUCUAAGGGCGACGCUCAGGCUUCAAUGUCUGAAAUGGCUUGCAGUACCUUCAUAGCCCAGGCCGUGAAUCCCUGUGGUUUUGGCCUGCAUGGGAGGAGAUCAGGAGUGGAAGGUCUUCCUCCAAAUGCCAAGACCUACCUGUUAUUUUUGAAUUUGUUUUUAAUUGGUUGAUAAAUGAAAUAGAGGUUUAUAUUGUAAAGAAAUUUUGAGGUAAUCUAGACCAAUCCACUGUUUUUAUUUUUAAAAUCACUUAGUUUUCUGAUGAUGCAGUUCCUUAUGGAAGACAGGGCGAACAGGGAUAAAGAGAACCGAUCCUGUAUAAUCUCCCUCCUCAGAAAUGGCCAUCAGUGCCACUUAGGUGCAUCUCCUAAUGUGCGUAUUCAAACGAGCACAUAUUAUUACAUAAUUAAGACUGUGUUAUAUGGUUUUAUACCUUGUUUUUUAACUUAAUUUUAUAUCACGAUGAUUUCAUCAUGUCCUUAGAUAUUCUUCACUCAUUUAAAUAGUGAUUUACUAUACCAUUAUGAGAAUAAAACAUAAUUCCUUUAGCCAUUUCCAUAUUGGUAGACAUUUAACUUAUUUUCAUUUUUUGCUAUUAUUAAAAACAGAUUUAAAAUAUCGAGGCAUUUGAGUCUCUUUCUACCUGCAAUAUUUCCUUAGGUUUAACUCCUAGAGUUAAAAUGAUUAGGUCAGGUUUUUGAAUAUUUUAAAACCUAAUUGGCAUACCAGUCUCUGUUUUAGAGAUUCAUAAUUGAGGCCAAUGACAUUCAGAAUUUGCUGGAGACCGCAUAGUUCCUAGUGUCAGAGUCCUGAGCCCGGCUCCCCAACCCGCCGGGGUGGGCUCUCACAGGUGUUUCAGGAUCCAGCAGAAGGUCAAGAGAGCAAGAAACUGUGUUAAUUGAUGAACGCUGCAUUCUUCUUCGCAGAAAAGUCCACAAAAGCGUCUACUCAUCCUCAGGUUGUGUGUUCGUGUGUGUGUGUGUGCUUGUGUGUGUACACAUGUGCAUGUGUGUACACUAACACAAAUUACUCCAAGGCCCGAAUCAGAGAGGUUUCUUUGGGGCAACUUGCUGUUUACCCUAAUGCUUAGCAAUGUCAUUUCUGGCAAUGAAAAUAAAGUAACAAACACGCUUCCA